UCACAUCAAAGGGUGAUGCUGUUAAACUUCAAUCACUAUCUCUAUAUGUGGCAGAGAAGACCCAGACAAAACCAUUUGCUAUACUACUCCUAUAUCAUCUUUUCUCUAAAAGAUUUCCAUCCAAAACUUCUGAUGAGUAAAGCCUGGUGUGAACUGAAGCCACCAGUCCAAGGACACCCCAUCGCUGAUGUGUGACAUGCCAGGCUCGGAUUGUCUGUUCCCAUGGUGCAAGGCAGCUGAGCAGGGCACUUGGCUCUUCCCUGUUGACGGAUCAUGACAGCCUUGCUUCUGGAUGUCCGGUGUGUGUGUCUGCUUUGCACAGUCCCUGUUCCUCUUGCCAGAAGCCACUGAUAACUCCUUUCAGAAAAAUGAAAAAAAAAAGGAAAGAGAUGUGCUAUUUCCAGAUGUCCACAGACUUCCCAAAGCCAGGCUCUGAGCAGGGGCCUGUGGACUUUUGACUGUAAGUUAAAAUCCCUGUGAUAGACUCAGACCAGAGAAAGGAUUGGAAGCGCCCCAUUGUGGUCGGCUUUCAGUUUCAGUAGUCACCUCUCGUUUUCUUGACAGUUCCAGGUUUUUAAGUGGGUAGUUGAGGGAACAUCUGAAUGGAACCGCAGCUUGCUAGGGAUUGUGAGUUUGUGAUGUGUUGGGAUGUAAAGUGUGCAGAUUGCACAGACCGUAUCAGACCUCCGCUUCCUCGGAGGAAUUACACUGACAGCUCCAAACAUCUGUGACCUUCUGCAGACUUAUUUUUGUACAAGUUUCUAGAGAAUAGUCAUCAUGGUGCCCUUCUGGGAUACUGGACCAGGGAUGACACUCGGAGCCUUUCCCAAACUGGGCAACACCAGGCAAUUGAAGCAAUGUCAAAAAUACAUUACCGGGACCUGAUCAAACUAAAAAGCUUCUGCACAGCCAAAAACAUAGUAAGUAAAGCAAGCAGACAGCCCUCAGAAUGGGAGAAAAUAUUUGCAGGUUAUACCUCCAAUAAAGGUCUAAUAACCAGAAUCCACAGAGAACUCAAAUGUAUUAGCAAGAAAAGAACAAGUGAUCCCAUCUCAGGGUGGGCAAGGGACUUGAACAGAAACUUCUCUAAAGAAGACAGACGCACAAUCUACAAACAAAUGAAAAAAAGCUCAUCUAUCCUUAAUCAUCAGAGAAAUGCAAAUCAAAACUACUUUGAGAUAUCACCUAACCCCAGUAAGAGUAGCCCACAUAACAAAAUCCCAAAACCAGAGAUGUUGGCGUGGAUGUGGAGAAAAGGGCACACUUCUACACUGCUAGUGGGAAUGCACACUAAUACGUUCCUUCUGGAAGGAUAUUUGGAGAAUACUUAGAGACCUAAAAAUAGACCUGCCAUUCGAUCCUAUAAUUCCUUUACUAGGUUUAUACCCAAAAGACCAAAAAUCACAACAUAACAAAGACAUCUGUACCAGAAUGUUUAUUGCAGCCCAAUUCAUAAUUGCUAAGUCACGGAAGAAGCCCAAGUGCCCAUCGACCCAUGAAUGGACUAGCAAAUUGUGGUACAUGUAUACCAUGGAAUAUUAUGCAGCCUUAAAGAAAGAUGGAGACUUUACCUCGUUCAUGUUUACAUGGAUGGAGCUGGAACAUAUUCUUCUUAGUAAAGUAUCUCAAGAAUGGAAGAAAAGUAUCCAAUGUACUCAGCCCUACUAUGAAACUAAUUUUUGGCUUUCAUAUGAAAGCUAUAACCCACUUAUAACCUAAGAAUUUGGGAAAUGGGGAGAGGGAGGGGAGGGAGGAUGGGCGGAGGGAGGGUGAUUGGUGGGAUUACACCUGCGGUGCAUUCUACAAGGGUACAUGUGAAACUUGGUAAAUGCAGAAUAUAACUGUCAGGAUGGGCAAGGGACUUGAAGAGAAACUAAGAAACUAAGAAAAUGCCAGGAAGGCCAUGUUAACCAGUGUGAUAAAAAUGUGUCAAACUGUUUAUAAAAACAAUGUAUGGUGCCCCAUGAUUGCAUUAAUGUACACAGCUAUGAUUUAAAAUUAAUAAUAAUAAAAAAAAAAGGAACCAAAGUAUUAAGUUAAACCUAAUCUGUUGGUUUCAGUUCUGGCCCUCAGCAAAACUCCAUCAUAAGGAAUGAGAUAUGAAGUGUUUCAAAGUAGUCUAAGAAGGUAAUUUAUGAUGCUAUAUUCGAUUUAGAACUACUAUAGAAAAAUCUCCAAUAUCAUCAUGUCGUAUUUGGAAAUGUUUCUGGGAGCUACAUAAGGUAGAAUAUUGUAUUACUUCUCAGUAGACUUGUAGACAUUUAAAAUAUAAUCUAAAUCUCUCUUAGAAAAUGCAUAAAUUUGCUUUUCAUUACUAUUAAUAUGGCCAUAAUUGCUCUGUAACCAUUAGCAAUUUAGUUGUAACACCUCGUGCAAGAAUACAUACAUUCUUAAUAUUUUAGUUUUCCUGUGUAUAAGAACUUAAUUAAAAUAUUAAUAAAUCCAAUGACCCUCCACCUCCCCAAAAAAAGAAAGAUGGAGACUUUACCUCUUUCAUGUUUACAUGGAUGGAGCUGGAACAUAUUCUUCUUAGCAAAGUAUUUCAGGAAAGGAAGAAAAAGUAUCCAAUGUACUCAGCCCUACUAUGAAGCUAAAUUAUAGCUUUCACAUGAAGGCUAUAACCCAACUAUAGCACAAGACUAUGAGGAAAGGGCCAAGGAAGGGGAAGGGAGGGAUGAGGUUAGGGUGGAGGGAGGGCAAUGGGUGGGGCCACACCUACAGUACAUCUUAGAAUGGGUACAGGUGAAACUUACUAAAGGCAGAAUACAAAUGUCUACAUACAAUAACUAAGAAAAUGCCAUGAAGGCUACAUUGAACAAUUUGAUGAGAAUAUUUCAGAUUGUAUAUGAAACCACUACAUUGUACCCCUUGAUUGCACUAAUGUACACAGCUAUGAUUUAACAAUAAAAAAAUUAAAAAAAAAUUAAAAAUUAAAAAA